rnacentral:lncRNA from 1 species
UUAUUCUGCUGUGGUUCAACAACCUGAUUAUUUUUAGAUAGAAAUUUAAGGUAAAAUGGCACAUGGAUAUAUUUAGAGAGGACUGCAGCUGGAGUCCAGCUAUCACAGAAAGCAUUCUGGCAUUUGCUUGGGGAAGAUAUAGCUUUCAAGGGGCAGGGGUUCAGUAAUAGCAGGUCACUAACAACUGUUUCAGGGAGUCACUGAUUCCUGGAAGCAAUGACUGGUGUCUUGACACCCUGGAAGUUUUCCCAAAUGACUUGGCUAGAGUAGAUAAAGCUCAUUUUAUGCCGUUGAUCGUAUGUAUUUUCUUGCUGAUCAUGGAAGAUGGGAGCAAGAAAGGACACUAUGUUUGAUUUGAUUUUGCAGGGAAUAGAGCGACUCAUUAGUCAUUCAGUCAAACAUCCAACAAACAUUUAUUGAGCAUUUACAAUGUACCAUGUUAUUAGAUGCAAGAGAUACAAUGGUGAGGAAAAACAAAUAUUCCCAUGUCUUCAUGAAGCUCAAGACUUAACAGGUAGGAUUAACAUUAACCAGAUAAUCACAUAAAUAAAUGUAAAGUUGCCACUAUGAUGAAUGCUGCCAAUGAAUAGUCUAGUGCUAUCAGGGCAUGCAAGAGGGGAAUCUGGCAUAGUCGAGAUACAGCAAGGCUUCCCUGGAGAAGACACCACUGAAAUCAAGUCUGAAAAGUGAGUAAAAAUUAAUAAAUGAAAGGAAAUUUGAGACUGUCCUAUGUACUCAGAGCAAAAUGUGCCAAAGCCCUGCUGCUGAAGGAGCAUGCAUGUUUGGGGGACUGGUAGGUCAGUGCAGCUGAAGCAGAGAGAGAGAAGACAGGCUAUUAUAAGAUAAGCCUGAAGAGGUAGGAUGAGGUCAACCUUAGAGGACCCUGUACACCACAUUAAGGCCUCAUAUUUUCAGCCAUGUAGGCAAAAUUGGGGCAAACAUACUUUUAAAAGGGAUAAUGGAUCCUUAUAAAAGAAAUUAAGGUCAAUAUAUAUUCAUUGCUACUAUUUUGUGCAAGAAACUAUGCUAGGUCUGAAGAAGCUGCCAAAGGAGUACAACAUCUAUGUUCAUAAUGCAUAAGCAGUCCAAUGAAUAAACAGUGAAAUAUAUUCCAUGUUGUCAGAGAAUAUCUUUAAAUGAUAUGAAGAUUUACUGGAAGAAGACAUGUAACAUGACAAGAGGGAAUAGAAUCUGGGGAACACUUAAUAGAAAAAGGCUAAUGAACAGUCAAUAGAAUUUCUACUAGCAGAAAUGGAGAGUGUGGAGUUAGUGCUAUUGACAGAGUUAUCAAUGUGAGCAAAACCAAACACCAAAAGUGGACCAUGUCCAUUGUCUUUGGGGAGAACAGUAGAAACUUCAGGGAGGUUGUGAUACAGGCACCACCUGGAGAUGGUACAACAGAACAAUGUCUUACUUUUACAUUGUACCCUACAUUUAUAAUCUCAAUAGAUCUCCAAAAGAACACUAUGAAAGAAAUAGGGAAGCUUUAGCAGUUAUCUUCAUUUUACUGAAAUGUAGAGUGUAUAAAUAAUUUUUCCAAGAACACACAACUGGCAAAUGAUUGAUCCACAAUUAAAAUACAGAUUGCAAGUUUCCACUGCUUCACUGAGUCACAAAUUUCAAUCAUUCAGAAUCCAUCUUUAUGGUUUCACUACAUCUGGAUAUCACUUUACUAUCAUACACUUAACGUUUAUCUUUUAAUUGACUAAUUCUUUUUCCUUAAAAUUUUUUAAAAGGAAACUAUCACCCCCUAAGAGGAAGCCAAUAUCAUUUGUCACAAGUUUAAAGCUACACAGCUCACCUAUUGUGGCCAAUGCCAAUUCUGGGUGUAAAAGAAAAUCCUUGAGGAAGCAGCAGGCAUGGAUUAUUGCAAAAAUCAAGAUGCAGACAAAAUGGCAAAUCUGAGAAGAGAUGGACAGGCAAAAUGGAGCACAACGGAGUCACUACUGCUACGUCAGUGUGGAGUCGCACCUUGAGCCAUAGUGUUACUUAACCAUGUUCCUUGAUGGCACACAGAAUGUUAUACUGUAAUAUAGAUGUAAAUAUUAAUAUAAUAUAGAAGCAUAUAGUAUAUAUAUCAUACUGUAAUAUAGAAAUAAAUAUUAUACUUCUGGAAUUCUGGAAAUAGUUCUGUCUGUGAUGUCAUCGGAAAAAAAAACUUGAGGGCUGAGCUAUUUGUCCUCAGUGCCUAGGUUCUGUGGAACCCAGCACAGUGACUUUCAUCCCUGUGAAACCUCAACAAAACACUAGCGAAGGGUGGUCAUUCCCAGUUAUAUAAAGAUCUUUGAUGAUGAUAGGUACACCGGGGUUUCCAACUCAAAUAGUGCACAAGUGAGGAAAUAAUAAUAAAUAUAAGUAAAGUGGGCCAGGUAGAACUACAACAAGCUGGAGUACUCACAGCCCUUAUAAGGGCAGAGUCGCUAUCUGUACCAGCUGAUUGUUGCUAUGUGGAAAUGCAAGCCUAAAGCGCCAAAUACUCUGUUUUUUCCAAAAGAAGUGGGAAAUAGCCUGUAAGUGUCAAAACUAAUUCAACUUUUAAAAGAUCUCCAGGCAGCUCAAACAAAACCUAUCUACAGAUCCCCAGUUUGCAACCUCCUACCAUAAAAGGUCCAUGAGCUUGGUUUAAUGCAGGGUGAAGUUACUUAUCACCUUGGCAUCUCUAUUUGUCUAUCCAAAUAAUAGAGAUAACUAUAAUUCCUUUCUCAUAGCAUUGUUUGAGAAAUAAAAUGUGUUACUACAUGGUAAGCAUUUGCACUGUCUCAUUUUAUGCAUUUUUGUUAUUAAAAAUUAUAUUUUAUGUAUUUGCCUAGAUCCAUCUGAAUGCAAUAUGAUUGAAUAUGUAGUCUAUAAGUCAUAAUUCCCAUGUUUGAUUGCAUAAUCUCAAUAAAGAACCUCACCAAAUCCUUCAAGCUAUAUUAUACAUGAUACAUCCUAUCACAUUCGCAACUUGUGACUAUAGAAACUGAGGUAGAGAGAAGUCAAUUUGUUGUCCAGGUUUGCAAAGAGUCUCUGGCAAUAUAGGAAGUGUCUCCUUGUCUCAGUCACAAGUAUCCUGUAAACUGGAAUGGCCUCUACCAUUGACUUUCAUGAUCACUAAGUUUUCCUUGUGGUUCUCCACGCUUUGACCAUAUCAAAAAAAAACAAGGUUUAUAAAGACAUGGAUAAACUUUAGCCUCUAAAAAGGCUUUAGUUGUGGGUAGACUAUCUAUUUGUAUUCGGGUUUCUGUCUUUCAAGCUAAUUUGUAGAGCUUCACUAAGGAAUCCCACUAAGCAUCACUUAAGAACACAUUUUCAAACUGAAUCUGACAAAAGUAAACAUCCUUGAAAAAUAGGAGCACAGGUAUUCCAAUAUAAUAGCCCCUUGUUUCUCAAAGUGUGGUCCUGGGGCAGCAACAGCAGCAUUAGCUGGGUGCUUAUUAGACAUGCAGAAUCUUAGGCCUCACCCCAGACCUACCGAAUUAGAAUCUUCACUCCCAGGUGAUUUAUGUGUGCAUUAAAUUUGAAUAACACUACUAGCCAACUAAUCUCUAUAAUCUCCUGCAGCUUGUGUGUGACCAAGGAAAGGAAUAGCAAAAAAGGUUCACUUUACAUUUUACAGGGAAGGCUUUUACUAUUUGUUAACUCACUUGAGGGACAUAAACUGUCAAAAGCCAGCCCUCAGCAUCUGUUUAAUUAUACACCUCCAAUGAGUCUGAAAAUUAUGUAAGUUUGUCUUGGACCCAGGCCCUGUUUGCUGGGAGUUGCUUUCAGCUGAGACUGACCAGUGCAUUAUUGUCAGUCAACAUGGCCGCUGAGACCUGCUGCCCAUUUGUCCAAGGACAGCCAGUGAGAAUAUCCCUGUGUUGGUGUGGCCACAGAAUCAGAGAAAGGUGCUAAGUCCGAUAGACCAGUAAAUGUCUUAUCAUUGGCAGCCUUGCUCAUUCCCAAUGGAUGACAGAAGCAAGUAGGUACGCCAUGCUUUUGCAAAAAUGAGGAAAGGUAGGAAAGAAAGGAGAGAGGAUGAGAAGAAGGGAGGAAGGAAAUAAAAACAUUAUCAGGAUAUUUCUUUGCAACUCCCAUUUCCAUCCUUCUUUUGUUCUAGCUAUUGAAAAGCCAGUGCUUCUACAAGUCACCCUGGGCUAAUGAUAGAGCAAGAAAGAGGUAUUCUGUCAAUGACUCUACUAGAGGUAGGUGAGGGGAGACACAGGAUUUGAUAAUCUGUAGACCCACUUCACAGGUGGGAAAACUCUGCCAAGCUUAUUCCUUCACCUUGGUUAGACCCAAGGCAGACAAGCUCUGUUCCUUUAGUGAGGCUAUCCACUUCUAGCCUUGUGUUCAGGCAAGGAAAGGGUGGGUGUGGGUUCAUAGUUUGGCUUCCACAACCUGAUCCAUCCUGCCCUGUCCUGUCCAGUUGGCUGUGUAUCAGUCAACACUCAGUAGGCAGGAUAGCAUGCGACCACCUAUCGGCAUAGCUCAGUGGCUCUCACUGUAAGCAAUAUGCUAAAAUCCACCUUCUAGAAGAGAGAGGUUUAUAAAAUCAGCUCAUCUAUGUUUUAAAAAUUGUCUUAAAUUUUGCUCUAAAUUUUCUGAUUUUGUAGGUAAUACAGAUAUUCCUGAAAAACAGUAUGUGUGUGUACGUGCACUACUUGUUUAAAGAAAUCUCUUAGAGAAGAAUUGGCAGAAAGGCAGUUUACUGGGAACUUAUCCAGCCACGAUGGGUCUGGGCUAAAGUACAUUGGUUUCAUUCUUCAAGUUCUUCAGGUGUCACAGCACUCAACAAACAAAUAUUUUAAAAUACCUUCUAUGUGUUUAGCAUUGUGCUAAUUAACCUAAACCAAGUUGCUCAUAAUGAUAGGAAGAAUUAAUUAGUCAUGUUAAUAUUAUGUUAUUAUGUGAUCAGUAUAGGAGUAUUUGUGUAACACUAGUUCAGUAUGGGACACAUGCAAACAUAUUAAAAACUAAAAACAUGUUCUAGCUGUGAGUAAUUUUUCUUUUAAUAAUUGAGCUUUCAGAAACAUUUCCACAGAAGUCAUUGUCUCUAUACCAUAAGUUAUUUAAAUUGAAGAAAAGCUAUUUGUCAGCUCAACAGGACCUCAGAAUGCAUUACUCUUUUGCAGGAAAGCCAAGGCUUCCUCUGUUUGGGACUUAAGAGAGCAGAAUGUCAAGGUCUCCAGAGAACCUCAUGCAUGAACCAUUGUUUCAUCCAUCAUUUUUUAAAGCAACUAUUUUAGGUGAUUUCUUAUCUGAGCACGAGGAGGGGCGUCAUUCACAGACCCCUAAGAAGCAAGCACCAGGAGCAAGGAUCCCCCUUUGGCUCUCCCUGGCCAAUUAUCCCAUAUCAUAGCCCCUUUGGUUUCUCUUUACAUAGAUCACAAUUUAAAACUGUUUUAUUUAUGUGUCCAUUUAUUUACUUAGUAACUGCUACCUUCCCCCUCCUCUCUAGCCCUUAGUGAAAGCUCCAGGAAGUCAAGAAUCACACCUCUUUUUCCCUUUUUUAUCUCCAAUGUUUACCUCAGUGUCCAGUCUACAAUAAGAAGUCAAUAAAUAGUUUUGAAUUUUAAAAAUGAUGUCUGUUUUACCAAAGCAAAUCAGUGCCAAGGAAAAGGCAAGGCUGUGCCCAGCCUCACUCAGCAUUUGUCUUCCUCCUUCUGCUGUCUAGCUUAGUGUUGUGGGGGACACAGGUAUUCAUCAGAGAGCAUUUCCACCUUGUCAUGAAACGCUACCUUGUAAUCCAGUAGCUAUCACUGCAGUUAAAGCUGAGAAGCCAAAAGAUUUCAAAUAGGAAAACUCUCCAAAAUGAUAUCAUUAUCAAAUGCAUUUGCUAAACAUGUCUAGUGAGUGGCAUGUUGUUUAUGGUUUGGGAAGAGCCUGAAAAGAGUAACUCUUGCUUGCUAUUAUAAAACAUCACAGCAUUCCCUUUCAGGUGAAGUCUAUGUUAUCCAACCUGCAAAUGACUGGAGCA